CAGAGUUGAAAAACUCCAACCCUUGUGUAUCUUACCUUCGUCGUUGCUUCGGCGGCAAAGAUGCCCCCCUCCGCGGGGGCUACGGCGCCGCCGGAGGUUCACAAACUCUUGAUUUUUAGUGUAUCUCUGAGUUUAAAAAAUAAUAAUCA
rnacentral:misc_RNA from 1 species